CUUACUACAGCAUUACCCCUUGUGUGCAAACAAACUGGAGGUGGCAUUCAUCGCCCUAUCCCAUAGCUCCCGUUCCCGUAUCAUAACACCGCUAAAAAUAAACAAAUCGUGACAAAUUGCUGUAAGUGCAGCCGACGCUAUCUGCCCCGCAGAAGACAAUGGCAUCCACCUAUCGGUUUCCCCGCCCUCUCCAACUGCCAAUCGGAUUGGAGUAUGACUGAGUCACAUCAUUUCCAUGAGCCGCAACCUCUCGACGACCUACAUCCCAGUUGGCACCGCAAGUUACACAUUCAACGCCGGGCACCGAAGUUAGCACUUCCAAAGGCAGUCGUGUGCUUAUAUUGACCAGUGGUCGUCCAUUUCAAUUAUGAUGUCACUGUCGCCAAGUCAAUGAACGUCUUCCGACACCUUAAACAGACAACAUACAUCAACAAAUACAGCGGCUAGUCAUCCCCGACCGCUGCCUCCAUAUGGCAAACGGCGUCGUGAUUUGUACAAAAUACAGCGGAAGGGAAAAACGAGCGAAAAAAUAAGCCGGCCAUAACUGUAGACGCCAGGGGACAGAACCAAUCGGGCGUCAGAAAAUUGGAACACCAAAGAGCCGUUCAUGCCAUCUCAUCUCCUCCAGCGCGCCACAUCCCACUCCAGAUGUGCCCACUGCUCGGCGAUAAGGCAGCAGUGUCGAGUAUCGGAUUCGAAUCAUAAAAACGUAAACGACAAAAUCGAAACGCACGGCAAACAAACAAUACAAUAGAAACUGGUGUGAGAUAAAGCCCGAGCCAGUAUGAAAGAAAACGCAACAACAACAAUAGUAAUAAUAAUAAAUGGAAAUUAAAAAUUGAUUGCUUCUUUGGCCGGCGCUUCUUGGCAUCCGCCUCGGUACAGUGGUUGUGCAUUGAUUGAAAAGCGAAGGCUCGGUUUUGCUUGGUAGCUUUAUGGCAUUUGUGGCAUUCUGGGAAGGGCCUAUCCUAUCGUCCGCUUUCAUUCUGGGAAUGCUUUCUCACGUUGUUUACUUUUCAACGAAUCGCACACAAGAAAUCAAACCACAGUGCACUCUGGAUAAGAGGGAUUCAGUUCACCAAUACCGCCAACGACCGACAGUCGUUGUUAUUGUUCGUUAAUCAGAGACAACCUCGCGAUUGGAUUUCGUUGGGAAAAGGCGAAUCACUUGACCAGCUGAGUUUGGCCAAAACGGAAAUCCAACAUUAUUCACUCUCUCUAUCUGGCCUGUUCACCGAUUCACCCACCGAGUAUACACGUAACGCCGAAUCCCCGCUAGAUUUAUGAUCACCACUCACCUCAUGGCUGCGCUUCAGCGAGGUGUACUCCUGCAGGGUGCGCGACACGUUGCGCUUGAGCGUGGAGAUCUCCUGUAUCUCCUUGUCCAAAAUGUUUUUCAGCCGCCGCACCACCUUGGCCUCGGUCUCCAGCUCGCUCUCGAUAAUGCACUCUGCCAUCGUCUUCUCCAGCUCGCCUGCAAUGGAGAAGCACACACUGACAUAAGUACUGGGUAUAUGAAGCUGCAAAGCCUACACCACACUGACCAUCAUCUUAGUAGCAUGCUAAAUAUAGUAGAUAAAAAGAUAAGUCUCUAUUCUUUACAUAAAGUGGUAAUACCAGUUUCUUUGUCA